UAGAGACCAGUGUCGCAGCAACGUGAAGAAGCGGAAGGAUCAUUA
rnacentral:rRNA from 1 species